GCUGGAGUAUAGUGGCACAAUCUUGUCUCACUGCAGGCUCUGCCUCCCAGGUUCAAGCGAUUCUCCUGCCUCAGCCUGCCGAGUAGCUGGGAUUAGAGGUACCCACCCCAUGCCCGGCUGAUUUUUGUAUUUUUAGUAGAGGUGGGGUGUCACCAUGUCGGCCAGGCUGGUCUCGAACUCCUGACUUCAGGUGAUCUGCCCACCUUUGCCUCCCAAAGUGCUGGAAUUACAGGCGUGAGCCACCGUGCCCUGCCGACGUUUGGAAUUUAUGAGGAAAGGUACAAGAAUUCUUCUAGGCCAGUAAGUGACAGAACUGCAUGUCCCAGCCUGUGCAGCCCCUUGAGUGCAUGUUCUAGAGCCAUCAGCUCUAGAGUCCUUCCGGUUGUCAAGGGUCUCGAGUGCCACCUCUCUACCCUGUGAGAUACGCAGAGGACCCUGUAAAUGCCGUGCCCCGCAUGCCUCGGCCUGGGCGUGAGCCGUACGCGGGGGAGGUGGUGACGUUUGUAAUCCAGACGUCGUUUCGUUGCGACUGGGUCACCUGUGAUGCCCUAAGCCCUGAGAACUUUUCAGGAUUGCCAGAUUUAGAAAAUGAAAACGCAAAACUCCAAGUUAAAUUUGAAUUUAAGUAGACAAUGAAUACUUUUUUGGACCUGUUACGUGAGACAUGCACCAAAGCACGGAGAGGGACAGCCACGAUCCUGCCCGGAACGGGUCUUCAGAACUGGGCAGAGCAUGGCUCCUUUUGAUGGGGGCCCCAGAACUCCUUUUCAAAGGCAAUGGCAGGACGGGAUCCACAGUGGGUGGCCCUUUGAUAAGGAGGCAUCCUCCAGCCAGAGUUGACACCACGUGGACAAGGUCUCAAUGCUGCUUAACACUGUUUUGGGUGCAGAACAAAGAGCGGUUGGAACAUUUCUCGUCUAGUCUCCCCCUCUGGACAGGACAGCCCCCUGCCUGUUGUCCCCAGUGUCCUCUGUGAAUGGGGACCAGCUGUCUUUCAGCACUAUUGACAAGAGCCAAGAUGUGGAAUCAAUCUAAGUGCCCAUCAGUGGAUGAAUGGAUAAAGAAAAUGUGGUGUAAAUACACAGUGGAACACUCUUCAGCCAUUUGAAACACAGAUAGAACUGGAGGCCAUUAUGUUAAGUGAAACAAGCCAAACAGAAAGGUAAAUACUGCAUGUUCUCGGAUGUGGGAGCUGAAGUGGAUCUUCUGAAGAUAGAGAAUGGACUGGUGUUACCAGGGGCUGGGAAGGAUUGGGAGUAGGGGGAUGAAGAGAGGUUGAUUAAUGGGUACACAAUCUCACAUAAUGUAUUGUAUGCUUUACUGAAAUAAAAACAGAAUGGUUGUAUGGGUACUCUAAGUAUGGUUUCUCCUAAACACAUACGGCUUCCACACCAUCAUAAAAUUGAAAAAUCAUUAAGUCAAGCACUGUCUAAUAUAACUUAAUACAAUGCUAAGGUCCUUCAUUUAAUUGUAACAUAAGUCACUCAAGUGUUGCCAUCCUGGAUGAUUUUCUUGGAUUUUUUUUUUUUUUUUUUUUUUUUAAGACAAGGUCUUCUUGCUCUGGAGUGCAGUGGUGUGAUCACAGCUCAUGGCAGCCUCAUACUCGUAGGCUCAAGCAAUCUUCUCAUCUCAGCCUCCAGAGUAGCUGGGACUACUGGCAUGUUCCACCAUGCCCAGUUAAUUAUUAUUAUUGUUUUUUGUAGAGACGGGGUUUUGCCAUGUUGUCCAGGGUAGUCUCGAACUCUUGGGCUCAAGCGAUCCUCCCUCCUCAGCCUCCCAAAGUGCCGUGUGCCACCAUACCCAGCCCCUCUUUGGUUUUUUAAAAGUGCCUGCUAGCUCAUCAGCACAGGAGCAAGGCGACUUGGAGCCACAAUGAGACAGAUGAUUGCCAGUGUUGUUUCAUUUCAGUUCUUAAGUUCCUGCAUGGGGUGCUUACUGAUGAGUCUGUCUCUCCUCUCAGGUAAGCCAGGCCUCCAUCCACUCCUGCACAGCAGGGAACGCUGCACGGUGGCCCAGGGUUCGUGGUGGGCACGCCGUACCCCUCACCCCCUCCACGUGGAGUCUGGCUGAGGGCUCCCUCCCGCAUGCCAGGCCUGGCAUGUCGGUGCAGGCCCUUGCAUUUCUGGCUGUGCUGCGCAGUCUCACCCUUGAGAAGAAGGGGGCGCUGUUGCCUCAGCCUUGCAGAGUUUCUCUGUGGUCAAACCACCCUGCCAGCCUCCCUGCUGCAGCCGGCAGCACGUCACUCCAUGCGGGAGGGGAGCCCCACCUAAGGUAGACUCAGCCUGUGGGAUUCUGGCCUGGCUUCCCGGCAGCAAGCAGGAGCUUCAGAUGCUCAUUCCCGCCGCGGUCGGCUGUGGCGGCGACUCAUACCCGUUUCCGCUCGAAUGAUGCCAGCUGUCCUGCUGCGCCACCUUCCUCUGUCCUCGCAUCCGCUGAUGGGAUUUCCGGUCGCUUCCACUUUGUGGCUCUUUUGAAGAAUGCCGCUAGGAACAUUCACACGCAGGUUUUUGGUGUGGACGUUCUUGGCCAUAAAAUAUGGCUUUUGGAAAAAUAAAGCUGAGACUUGGAGUUCACGGUGGGGGCUCCCCCAUCUGUGAACAGAAGCAGAAGUUUGGAACUGCCUUCUUUACUGCUCGAGAGGGAAAACUUGAGUGAAAACCAGGAUGCUGGCGAAUGUUGAGUAGCUAAGCUGCACAGGAAAUACCACUUGAUGACCUGCGAUCUGGGGAAGCCGCGCCAGGGCUCUGCGAAGCUGCGGACGAGGGAGGCGUCAGUGUGGGGGCUGCAGCUCAGCUCCGGGGGGGACGCGCCUUUCUCCACGGGACCUGGGGCUCAGGUGCUCACGAGGCUGGGGCGCUGCAGGCCACCCGCAGGGGAAACUGAGGCCCUCCAUUUUGUGGGGCUGGAAGACCUUUCCUUCCAAAAGCAGGUGUAGGCGGGAGCACCUGUGCAGUCCCUCUGUUCAGAUCCUCACCCACUUUUAAAUCAGGAAACAGCAGAUGAAAUGCACAGUGUGAAGGACAAGGAUUCUGCUGAGAGAAUUGCUCCGAGGGUUGCUCAAGUGAUCAUGGGAAAUAAUGCAUCAAACCAUUCUUUAGAUGCAGCUCAGGUGUGCCUUUUCUUCGCCUGUGCCCAUCCACCUGAGAUGGACCAUAACCAUAAAAGUCAGAAGGCACUGACCCUUCAGGACGUGACAGGGUUAAAAGAUGCUGGAGGGAAAGUCUGUCAUUGACUUUUAUUCACUUCCUUUCUCCAUUCUGCCAUUUGGAAGAAGGUAAGCAACUUAACACUAUUUUAGACCAUAUGUUGUAAACUAGCAGGAAAAUGCCUUUGAGCUGAUGAUGGUGGCCCGAACACAGUGAACCUGUCUUAAAUCCCUGCUUUAAACCCUUAAGGGUGUCACUUACAAGAGAUACUAUUUGAAGUCUUCCCAUGCAUGUGUAGGGUGGGGGGAGUACCAACAGCUCAUCGAAUGGGCUCCAUUUGAAAGAUCUGGAUGGUUGCCUUUAUUUGUAACUAGUUUCUUUUCUUUUUUUUUUUUUCCUUGAGAUGGAGUCUUGCUCUAUCACUGGGCUGGAGUGCAGUGGCG
rnacentral:lncRNA from 1 species